AUGUGGUUUAAUUCGAAGCAACGCGAAGAACCUUUACAGGUCUUGACAUCCCGAUGCUAUUUCUAGAGAUAGAAAGUUACUUCGGUACAUCGGUGACAGGUGGUGCAUGGUUGUCGUCAGCUCGUGUCGUGAGAUGUUGGGUUAAGUCCCGCAACGAGCGCAACCCCUAUUGUUAGUUGCCAUCAUUCAGUUGGGCACUCUAGCGAGACUGCCGGUAAUAAACCGGAGGAAGGUGGGAUGACGUCAAAUCAUCAUGCCCCUUAUGACCUGGGCUACACACGUGCUACAAUGGUUGGUACAACGAGUUGCGAGUCGGUGACGGCGAGCUAAUCUCUUAAAGCCAAUCUCAGUUCGGAUUGUAGGCUGCAACUCGCCUACAUGAAGUCGGAAUCGCUAGUAAUCGCGGAUCAGCACGCCGCGGUGAAUACGUUCCCGGGCCUU
rnacentral:rRNA from 1 species